GAGGGAGGGAAGGGCAGAGAAAGAGCCCGGGAAGAAGGAGGUGGCGGGCAGAGGAACGUAACGAAGAGCCAUGUGUAGGUGUCGGGAGCUCCCAGAAGGGCUGGGCCCCAUCCCCUGCUGCUCUGGGGGGCAGGGGCCGGAAGAUGGUGGCCAAUGAGGAGGGGGAGUGGAGAGAACUUGAGCCGGGCCUCCCCUCCCCCAUUUCCUCCUCGGUCUCUACACCGCCUCUGGAAGGAGCUGGGGGAUGGCUCCUGGGCCCAAGGUGGGGGAGGGGCCCGGCUGGCUGGUGAAUCGCUGGGAAUCCCGCUCUGGAAUGAGUUGGGUGUGAGAGCUGAGUGGAUCUCGGCCCCAGCCCCCUCUCCCUUAUCUCUUCAAGGAGACAUCUGGGCACUCCUUGGUGAAGAAUCUUCCCUUGGCUUCCCUGAAGCUUGCUGGGCACUCUGUUGACAAGCUCCAGUUCCCAGCUGGGACUGGUUUGCCCAAUCCAGGAGCAGAGGCCUGGCGACUGACCCUAGCCGGGCCUUAAUUUCCGUCCACCAGAACUACAAACUGUGGGACCAGGGUCCCGUGUUUGCAGAUCUCAGGAACAAACUCCGCCUGGGAGGGCGCGAGAAAAUCUUGCCUGCUUCCUGAGGGGGGUGGGAGAAGGCUGGAGGGGAAACCCAGAGAAGAGCUCCCAACUGGAAUUCUGCCCUCCAUCCCUCCUGCUAGCUAUGGAGUGAGGAGGAGGGCAUGGCCCGGAGGCCGCCCCAUUGCCGGGAGGCCUUCAUUGGUCGGUGCUGGAGAGGAAUGGCCCCAGCCUCUGCCCCUCUGGGCUGCACACAGUUCACGGGGUCAGAACUGGAGCUGGGCUUCCCCGGCCACAGCUCUACCCCGCUGGAGCGCUGAACUGUCGGCCGUUCAGGUGUCCCCCCAGGGCGGUCUUUUGGCUUUGGGUUUUAAUCAGUCUCAAGAUUGCUUAUCCGGGGUUUAACUUAGGUAGGAUGGGCAAGUUCUGGGUGAGCUUGAAGACUUCCUGAUGGGAGGCCCUGGAUAAAACAAACAACUCAGAUUCUAAUCCCACUGCAAGUAGGGAAGCCUAUCCCUACUACUCAUGCGAGAGGGGAACUCACCGUUUUGUUUCAUGCGGAAUCCAUAAAAUCCAUAAGGUGGAUUUUGAAGACCUCAGAAAGGAGAUGCAUGGGUGGGGUGUCACCUGCAGCUUCUGCCUCCAGGCUUGGAAGCGUCUCUGUGCUGCCUAAGGACCUGUGACUAUAGCCCCCACCCUCUGGUCCUGGAGCUUCAUCUGAGGUCCCCUUGAGGCGUGGAACUCCCUUUUAAACUAUGAAAGAGCUUUAGGGUAGGGAAGAAGAGAGAGCUCUGCAGUCCCAGUCAGGAAAUCCUCCAGAAUGGAAGCUGGCAGAGACACAAAUCCAGAUCAACUGCUUCAUGUGAGUGACCCCCAAACUGCUAGGACUUCUACCAGUCACUUCCUGUGAAGACUGCGUGUCAACCUCAAGGUAUCCCCUCGGCUGCCUCCAUGGAUCCUGUCGGCCAUCUCAAGACCUCAAGAAAAAGGUGGUCUCAGUGCUGGGAAGGAAGUAAGGAAGAAGGCAGAAGGAGGAGUGGAGAGAAAAUAGAUUAACCCUCAGCAUGGAGGAGAAGGGCAGAGGGAGGCUGAGUGGGCUAGGAGACCUGGACCGGGGGCGAGGAGGCAGGGCCGGCACGCCUCUGCUGCAGGCCGGAGCUCUUUUCACAUUGUGCUACUGUCUGCACCUACCACUAGCAGUGCAAUGUUAAAAGGGCAUUGGCCGCGUAGCGCUACCAGCGCCGGCUGCCUCCUCAGCGCCCCCCCUUAGCGUCGAGACUUCCUCUCCCAUCUGGGUGCCAACCUGCCACCCUGGUGGGAAUGCGAGAAGCCUCGCUGUUAGAGUCCGAAGAACAGCUCACGUUUAUGGAAGCACUACGGCAUGCAGACCACGUUCUAGACACUUCUGCGUUAUGGUGAACACUAACUAAUGACUUCUUGGCAAUGCCCCCAUUUUACAGAUGAAAAAACUGAGGACCGGAAGGUUUAAGCAAUGUGGCCAAGGUUAUACAGCCCUGAAAUUGCAGAGCCUAGAUACGGGCCUGUCUUAGGUCUGAGCUCAUCCAUCUUUUUGUAGACCUACCUGAAGAGGUUUGGGUAGGCUCUCAACUGGGAGAGUACCUGAGCUGAGGGGUGGAAGGUUUUGAUGCCAUCUGCUGGUUGUAUGAAGGUAUCUUCCAGUCUCAAGCCUUUAGAGAUAAAAAUGGCGGCUUGCUGGAUAAGAGGGAGGAGCCCCGAGAGUUGGUCUGGGAUUAGAGGGUGGACGGAAGAGAUUGGAAGAACCCUGUUAGAACCUGAGUAGACAGACCUCCAUAAGAAAAAGGGGUUGCAUAGGAAAGGGAAAAGGGUUAACCAGAAAAGGACUGGCCCCAGGGACAAGGACAUGGUUUUUAGGACCCCCUUGGUCUCAUUCCACACCCGUGGCUCCUUUCCUGGUCCUUGGGGCAUAGAAAGGAGACCUCACCUCCACCUGUAAUUAAUUCCCAGCAUGACCCCUCUUGGUCACAGGUAUUUGAUAAUGCUUCUUGAGGCAUCCAGGCUUUGGACAGUAUUGCCCGUGGGCUGAUCAUAGAAACGAAAUAGGAUCCCUGAGCCAAGCCUGUAGAAUGAUUCUCUCAGAAGAGAUUACAAGGAACUUGAAAGCAAUGACUAUGUCAUUUACUUCUUCGUUUUCCACAGUGCCUAGUUGGCUUAAUAAAUUGAGAGAGGCAUGUUUGAGCAGCCUUAA